rnacentral:rRNA from 1 species
UACGGGGGGUGCGAGCGUUGUCCGGAAUCACUGGGCGUAAAGGGCGCGUAGGUGGUUUGAUAAGGGUGUGGUGAAAGUCCGGGGCUCAACCCCGGAUCUGCCGUGCCGACUGUCAAACUCGAGGGCUGUAGAGGCAGACGGAAUUCCGGGUGUAGCGGUGGAAUGCGUAGAGAUCCGGAGGAACACCUGCGGUGUAGACGGCUUUCUGGACCAUUGCUGACGCUGAGACACGAAAGCGUGGGUAGCAAACAGG